GUCUCUCAAAUUCUGUCUAACACUCGAAACCCUAGCUACCUAUAUCGUCGUCUCCGACCAGUUCUCACUGGAGUCUGUGGCUUCUCAGACCAUGAACAGCCUGUGCUCACUUCCCCUCACCCCAAAUCUUGGGUAUUCAAGGUCUUCAAGGUCUAGCCUUGACCAGGCCUGUUCAGAUCCUCCGCCGACCUGAGAUCCCUUGGCUUCUUAGGCUCCGUUCCGGCAUGUUCGAGCUUUGACAAGGCUUAGCCAUGGUCCAGCUUUGUUCUAAGAUCAGAUCUUUCCGGAGCCUUCUCAUUCCUAGGUUUUUGGAGAAUACCUAAAGAAGCUAUUUCGAGGUUCUAUCUUUCCUUGUUUUCUUAGAUCUAUAACAGAUCUGUGUUCUACUCGAUGUUUUAAUGCUUUUCCCAAUUUUCCUUUUUUAAAUUAGUCUGCUCGAAAUUAGGGUUUUCAAAAAUCCUAAAACGAUUCCUCUUCUUCUUCUUAUUUCUUUAUGUGAAUCUGUAUGUCCAUGCCAUAUCUUAUGUGUUUUCGUUCAUUCUUAUGAUUUGCUGUUAACAUGCACUUGUCUCUAUCUUUACUCCAUUAUUGCUUCUACUAGUUUCUCCAAGUAUGAUUUAUAUGUUUAUCUUGCAUGUCCUUUGCUAUUUCUCCUACUGAGAUUGUUUGCCUUUAAUGGAUUCAUUUGGUUUCUAAAUUUGUUUCUUUUACUACUUCCAAAAAUUCUAUGGCAUCUCUUCUCUCUUCUGACUUCACUUGAGUUCUGAGCUUUCUCUUAAACUUGUUCUUUACAAUUUUGUCAGCCUACUACUUCUAACUUGCUACGUGUGUUUGUGUAUUUCCUUAAGGGACUCUGAAAGAAUUCCCUAAGCUUAUUGUGAGGGCUUGCCCUCUCUUUUUUGUAUCCUACUCGAAUUGAAACCCUAUGUCUGGGAUUUUUUGCGUGUUUUGAUUCUAGGGUUCUACUCUAGAAACCCCGGGCCCUCAAACUCGUGCCGAGUUUAUAAACUAAACUGAAACUUGCUUUUAGCUUAUGAUUUUGAAACUUUUUAUGCCGAUCUUUUCAUUCUUGCUUGACACUAUUAUGCUUUAUAUGCAAGGGUUUCCCUCUGAAUUGAUUUUGUUAGCUUAUGAUCGAUUUCAAUAUCCUUUUACUAGGUCUCGAUUGAUUUUCUACUGAUUUUUACGACUUAACCUCUUUCCCUCUUUGCCUGACUAAGUUCAGUCAAUAAUUUUCAAUUUCUGGCUGUUUGAUUACUUUAUUUCUUUAUUCUUUCAAAAUCGUGUACAAUAGGCUUCUUACCUUAAAUACACCCUGUGAACUUACCUUUAUUAUGCUACUCUAAAAAAGUUUUCAUUAUUUUCCUUUCCUUAAUUACUCAUUCUCGUUUGAAAUCAAAUACCUCUGACUAAGGGAGAUCCUAUUUGAUUGAUUGAAAUUUUAUUUCCUUGCGUUUAGUUUACUCGGUUUUUGCACUAUAAAAAGAGACAACCUUUUCAAAUCUAGACAGUUCUCAACACAGUUCCUUUUGCACCUUUUCUAUACACCUUACACAUUACAAAAUCAAAAAUACUUCUUUUUCAAUACUGAAUAACAGUUCCCUCUCUACUAUUGCUUUCUCUACUACCACUACUACUGAACACUCUGCUCCUUUCUCUCCUACUGUCUGAAUAUUCUUGAGCUCCUCUGAACUCCCAAAUGCUUGCUGAAGUUUUUGAGUUGUUUCGAUUAAGUGUCUGGCUGCCUACUUGCUGUUGUUUCUCUGUUGUACUAGAAUUGCAACUGGUACGUAUUUCUAAUUAAAUAACACAUUCCAACUAUGUGUGUUCACUUCUCUUCUUCUACACAUUCUUCACUAUGUGUGUUUAUGUCCUAUAACUGGAGCAUGUUCUAUUCUUUCUUCUAUGUCCUUGCAUAUGUAGUCUGCUAUGCUUUCUUAUGAUUUCCUUAAUGUUAGUGUAUGCUUUUGUAUGGAAAUCCCUUCCCAAUAUUCCCUUUUUUCUGUGUGAGUAUAGUUAUGAACCAUGUCAGCACCUUAUAUUGCUGUCCAUGAUCCAGAACUAGACUCUCUUGAGUCUUUACUCAAAUGCUUUCCCAUUCACUCUCCCCUUUAUGUGUUGAGAUUUAACUUGGGUCUGGUAGUGUCCUAAUCACCACUCAGACCCUAAGUUUGACUCCCCAGAGUCUGAUCCUAUUUGUUUGAGCUAGGCAGGGGGUCAGGGGUGUGCCAGCCUAUGCCAUAGCUGGGUAUGACCACUCUCUGCUAUGGUUCCUCUCUCACUUUUCACUCAUUCCUAGAUUCCUAAGUUCUACCCCCUUUGGUAACCCAUGCUUUGGGACUCUAGAGUUCCCUCUGAACUUGGAUGCCUGAGGGCUCGUAAUUCCACACUUGCACUAUUCUGUUAGAAUAUUUAUUAUUCAGAGUGUAAGCAUUGCCUGGGGUCCUGGAGGCUCCUUGGAACUUUGAAACACCUGAACUUGGAUGCCUGAGGGCUGGUAAUCCACUUGCACUAUUCUGUUAGAAUACUUAUUAUUCAGAGUGUAAGCAUUGCCUGGGGUCCUGGAGGCUCCUUGGAACUUUGAAACACUCUAAGACCCAAGUUUGACUUCUAAUGUCUGCUUUUCAUUUUCUUGGACCAAACAAAGGGUCAUGGGUGUGCCAGUCCAUGCCCAUGACUGAGUAUGACCACCCUCUGUUAUGGCUCCAUCUCUCACUUUGCAAUCAUUCCUAGUUCUAUGUUCUGCCCUCCUUUAGCAAGCCAUGCUUUGGGACCCUGGAGUUCCCUCUAAAAGUGGAUUCUUGAGGGAUGGUAAUUCAAUACUGCGCUAUUCUGUUACAACAAUUGUUAUUCAGAGUAUAAGCAUUGCGUGGGGCUCUUGAAGCUCCUUGUAACCUUGAAACACUUUGAAUAAGAGAAGGCCUUGGAAUUUGGAAUCCUGAUUUGGUGAAACACAUGUUAUUGGAUAUUAAAAUUGAAUUAGGCUGCUUUGAUCUAGCUGUAUGCUGUAAUUUAUUAUUGUUUACCUUCUUUCUCCGGGUUAUGUAAUAAUCUUAUAAAAAAACUCUGUGAAAGUAUUAGUGAAGAGGAUGGGGGGGGGGGUUUACUUUAUUUCAAUAAUGGUUGAUACCAUGCCUAUAGGUUUGUUGUUACUUAAUCACUUAGAUAUCAUGCCUAUAGGUUCAACGCUUAAAAUCACCUAGAGAUUAUGUCUAUAGGCUUUUGCACUUUCUUAACUCAAUCAUUUAGAAAUCAUGUCCAUAGGAAUUAAUAUUCAGUCAUGGUGCAAAUCAUUAGAAAUCCUACCAAUAGGACCUACUAAUCAACUAAUUGCAUAUAGAUAUCAUGCCUGUAGGAAAUGCAUGAAACGUUAGGCAAACCAUAGGGUAAUCAAAUACUUAUUUUCUUAACGUUUAAUAACGGUAAAGAGUCUUAAAAAAUCAAGAUACAUAUAUCAUGCUUACAGGGUUUCAGACUCGCCUAAAUCUGUGUAAGUAAUAACUUGGCCAUUUGCUUUAGCAUUUUCAAACAAAGCUCGUCCAAACUUGUCUGCAAUUUUCCAAACUUGUAUUUUCUUUUUCUGAAACGUUUUUCAACUCUCUACCUAAAUUUUUAUUCGUCUCAUGAAGCUCUCUUUAAAAAAAUAAGUUUAAAACUUACUCUUCUUUUAAAGCAUUCUUACUUCUCAGAAAUCUACUUUACAAUCCAGUGUACCUUUACUUAACAAUUCUGCUGAUUUUUCAAGACCUCUCUUAACUUCUGUAAUUUCUAACCUUCUAUUUUAAACUCUUCUACUUUAGGUUCUUAAUCAGUAUCUUGUACGAAAUACCUCAAUCUCUGACAAUUGGAUCCGAGUUGCCUAAUGCAGACCUUUUAUCCAACUUUAUAUGUUAAACUAAUCUGUCAACCUUUUAAUUUUGUCAGUCUCCUCAUCAGCAUCAAACUAGUAAACUGGGGCAGAAAUUUUGAGGGGGGUCCUUAAAAUUCUGGAAUCAAUCCGUGUUCAGUCGUUCAGUAUAGCCGUCAGAAGUGCCAGCCUAAUAAACUGGGGCAGAAUUUUGAGGAGGACCCUCAAAAUUCCGGAACUAACAAGGUUACUGUGUCUUGAACCACCUUGUAGUUGUUGUUUAAUCCAAAAUAAAACUUUUUUUUUCAAAUUUAUAUUUGCAUUAUAUUUACCAAAUCAUGCAAAAUAUCAUUUGCAUUGCUGUUGUUUAGCAACGCUACCCCAAGGAUACGUGACGUCAAGAGCCAAGGGAUACGAAGUAAACUUUCCCCUCUACAGAAAUCACAAUUUUUCUUUGAAUGCAGGCACCCCGGGUUGCAAAUCAUCGAAUACAUUCACACACUCGUACUAUUCAGGAUGGAAGAACGAUCGCUCAUUCGUAAAUUUACUAUCUACACCCAAAUCCCCAGCAACCUUGAUAUCACAAUCAUCUAUUAGCCAAGAGAACUUACUACUAUUAAUUUCUUUACAUUCCUAGGGCUAUUUUCUGCCUUAUGAGGUUAAGCUCUACCUCUAUCCUGCAUAAGGCUACUUAUCUGCCUUUUGAGAGUAAGCUCUGUCUCCAUCUGCAUUUUGCAUAAGGCUAUAUUCUCCCUUCCGAGGUUAAGCUCUACCUCCCUCCUAUAUAAGGCUACUUAUCUGCCUUUCGAGACUAAGCUCUGUCUCCAUAUUCAUUUUGCAUAAAGCUAUUUUUUGCCUUCCGAGGUUAAUCUCUACCUCCCUCCUGCAUAAGGCUACUUAUCUGCCUUGCGAGACUAAGCACUGUCUCCAUCUGCAUUUUUUGCAUAAGGCUACCUUUAUUCCUUUCGAGACUAAGCUCUGUCUUCAUCAUGCAUUUUGCAUAAGGCUAUUCUCUACCUUCCAAGGUUAAGCUUUACCUCCAUCCUGCAUAUGGCUACUUAUAUGCCUUUCGAGACUAAGUAUUAUCUCCAUCUAAAUCCCAUAAGGCUCUAUUUGCCUUUCGAGACUAAGCAUUGUCGCCAUCCUGCAUGGCUGAAAUAUCUUUACCUGCAUUUAAAUUCUCAUUUCGGCUGAAAUAUCGCCAUCUGUAUUUAAAUUUUUUGCUUUGGCUGAAAUAUCGCCACCUGCAUUUUCAAUUCUCGCUCUGGCUGAAAGAUUGCCAUCCCUUUGCAUUCAAUUGGUAGAAAGAUUGCCACUUUUUCAUGGGCUGAAAGAUCGCCAACUUGUUCAAAGACGUCAUAGUUUGGAUACACCAUCUGCAUAGCCCUAGAACACCAUUUCAUGGCUUGUGAAACUUUACUUUUAUGCUUUUCAUGGCCCAGGACAUCAUAGUCCGAGGACGUCAUCCUAACCGUCCAAAGACAGCAUUCAUGGUCCAAUGGGAACAUGCAUCACAUUUACAUUAUGCACAAUAUAUAUGUGCACAUUGCUCAUUUACAGGUACACCAGCUAGCAAACAUCCGUCUCAGCAAGAGAGCUCCCGCUCCGGUUCUCCGCAAUCUGUUCGACUUCAAAACCUUUCUCAAACUACACCAUCGCGUCCCUCUUUUCUAAUCUCCAUCAUUGGUUCCUGAACUACAUAUGGUGAUUCUUGUAAAAUCAGGAUAUGUAGGAAGCUUAGAAACCAGAGUACGAUCAAAAUUUUCUUACAAUCGCCGUUUCUGGUUAAAAUUGGUCAUCUUAUCUUUACCCGACAACUCUUUCAUCCUCCUCAGAUAAAGAGGGGCAGCUGUUGAUACCCAAUUUUACCCUAUAUAUUUUUAUAUAUACUCAAGUACUUUCAAAAUAGUAUAUGUAUGCAUAUAUAAGCAUGCCCAAAGGUUUUGGUAUUUUUCCUCAAUUUUAAUGGUUUUUACAAUUGAUUUAUUGUCUAUUUUUAACAGUAAAAAAUCCAAAAUAAUUCCCAAAUUAUCAUUUUUUGCAAAUAACAUAUUUCAUUCUUAUAUUUACGACAAAAUAUAAUUAAUUUGAUUUUUGCAUAUUUUUACAAAUUUAUUUGGAGUUUCUAAAGCUAAAUUGUAUGAAAUUACAAUUAUAGCCUAUGUUACAAUUUACCAUAUUUUACAAUUAUAAAAUCAUUUUUAGCUAUUUUUAUUAAUUAAAAAAGGAAAAUGGCUAUUUAAAAGCUGGCCCCAUUGAUUUCAAAUCUGACCCAAAUUGCACCCUUAAUUAACCCCAAUUUCAACCUCUUAAUCGACAACCCAAUUUUAAUUUCAACUGGCCCCAAACCUGUUUGACUAACUUGUCCGCUUCCCAUUUUAAAUCCCGGCCGUUGAUUGUUUAAUCAACGACCCUCGUUCACACUUACCAUUUUUAAUUCCCAAACUAAAUAACCCUAAAUUAUAUCCAACAAAGUAUCCACCCCAUAUUCCCUCAUCUUCAAAUUCUCUCUAACACUCGAAACCCUAGCCGCCUAUAUCGUCGUCUCCGACCAGUUCUCACCGGAGUCCAUGGCUUCUCAGACCAUGGACAACCUGUGAUCAUUAUUGCUUCUACUAGUUUCUACAUGUAUGAUUUACAUAUUUAUCUUGCAUGUCCUUUACUAUUUCUCCUACUGAGAUUGAUUGCCUUUAAUGGAUUCGUUUGGUUUCUAAACUUGUUUCAUUUACUGCUUCUUAAAAUUCUAUGGCAUCUCUUCUCUCUUCUGACUUCACUUGAGUUCUUUGCUUUCUCUUAAACUUUUUCUUUACAAUUUUGUCACCAUACCGCUUGUGACUUACAACGUGUGUUUGUGUAUUUCCUCAAGGAACUCUAAAUGAGUUCCCUAAGCUUAUUGUGAGGGAUUGUCCUUCUUUUAUGUGUCCUACUCGAAUUGAAACCCUGUGUCUAAGAUUUUUUGCGAGUUUUGAUUCUAGGGUUCUACUCUAGAAACCCUGUGCUUCAAACUCGUGCUGAGUUUAUAAACUGAAAUGAAACUUGCUUUUACCUUAUGGUUUUGAAAAUGUUUAUGCUGAUCUUUUCUUUCUUGCUUGACGCUGGUAUGCUUUAUAUGCAAGGGUUUCCCUCUGAAUUGAUUCUGUUAACUUAUUAUCGAUGUCAAUCUCCCUUUACUAAGGCUCGAUUGAUUUGCUACUUAUUUUUACAACUUCACCUCUUCCCCUCUUUUCCUGACUAAGUUCAGUCAAGACUUUUCAAUUUUCGGCUGUUUGAUUACUUUAUUUCCUUAUUCUUUCAAAAUCGUGUAGUAUAGGCUUCUUACCUUAAAUACUUACCCUUAUUAUGCUACUCCGAAAAAGUUCUCAUUAUUUUCCUUUCCUUAAUUACUCAUUCCCGUUUGAAAUCAAAUCCCUCUAACUAAGGGUGAUCCUAUUUGAUUGAUUGAAAUUUUAUUUCCUUGCCUUUAGUUUACUCGUUUUUUGCACUAUAAAAAGAGACAACCUUUUCAACUCUAGAAAGUUCUCAACAGAGUUCUUUCUGCACCUUUGCUAUAAUCUCACACUUUAGAAAAUAAAAAAUACUUCUUUUUCAAUACUGAAUAACAUUUCCCUCUCUACUACCAAUCUCUUUACUAUUUCUUUAUCUACUAUUACUACUACUACUGAACACUCUGUUCAUUUCUCUCCUACUGUCUGAAUAUUCUUGAGCUCCUCCGAACUCCCAAGUGCUUGCUGAAGUUUUUGAGUUGUUCCUGUUAAUUGACUGGCUCCCUACUUGUUGUUGUUUCUCUGUUGUAAUAGAAUUGCAACUGGUAUGUAUUUCUAGUUAAAUAACACUCUCCAACUAUGUGUGUUCACUUCUCUUCUUCAACACAUUCUUCACUAUGUGUUUAUGUCCUGUAGCUGUAGCAUGUUCUAUUCUUUCUUCUAUGUAUUCAGUCUGCUAUGCUUUCUUAUAUUUUCCUUAACGUCAGUGUAUGUUUUUUGUAUGGAAAUCCCUUCCCUCUAUUCCCUUUUGUGUGUGUGAGUAACACAUUCUUCACUAUGUGUGUUUAUGUCCAGUACCUGUAGCAUGUUCUAUUCUUUCUUCUAUGUCCUUGCAUCUUCAAUCCGCUAUGCUUUCUUAUGUUUUCCUUAAUGUCAGUGUAUGCUUUUGUAUGGAAAUCCCUUCCCUCUAUUCCCUUUUAUGUGUAAGUACUGUUAUGAACCAUGGCAGCACCUUAUAUUGCUGUCCAUGAUCCAGAACUAGACUCUAUUGAGUAUCUACUCAAAUGCUUUCCCAUUCCCUCUCCCCUUUAUGUGUUGAUAUUUAACUUGGGUCUGGUAGUGUCCUAAUCACCACUCAGACCCUAAGUUUGACUCCCAGAGUAUAAUCUUAUUUGUUUGAGCUAGGCAGUGGGUUAGGGGUGUGCCAGCCAGUGCCAUGGCUGGGUAUGACCACUCUCUGCUAUGGUUCCUCUCUCACUUUUCACUCAUUCCUAGAUUCCUAAGUUCUACCCCCUUUGGUAACCCAUGCUUUGGGACUCUAGAGUUCCCUCUGAACUUGGAUGCCUGAGGGCUCGUAAUUCCACACUUGCACUAUUCUGUUAGAAUAUUUAUUAUUCAGAGUGUAAGCAUUGCCUGGGGUCCUGGAGGCUCCUUGGAACUUUGAAACACUUUGAAUAAGAGAAGGCCUUGGAAUCUGGAAUCCGGAUUUGUUGAAACACAUGUUAUUGGAUAUUAAGCUUGAAUUAGGCUUCUUGGAUCUAGCUGUAGGUUGUGAUGUAUUAUUGUUUACCUUCUUUCUUCUGGUUAUUUAAUAAUCUUGUAAAAAGAACUCGGGGAAAGUAUUAGUGAAGAGGAUGAGGGGUUUACUUUAUUGCAAAAAGGGUUGAUACCAUGCCUAUAGGUUUGUUGUUACUUAAUCACUUAGAUAUCAUACCUAUAGGUUCAAUGCUUUAAAUCACAUUGAGAUUAUAUCUAUAGGCUUUUUCACUUUCUUAACUCAAUCAUCUAGAAAUCAUGUCUAUAGGAAUUAAUAUUCAGUCAUGGUGCAAAUUAUUAGAAAUCCUCCCUAUAGGACCUACUAAUCAACUAAUUGCAUAUAGAUAUCAUGCCUAUAGGAAAUGCAUGAAACGUUAGGCAAACCGUAGGGUAAUCAAAUAAUCAUUUUCUUAUCGUUUAAUAACAGUACAGAGUCUUAAAAAAUCAAGGUGCAGAUAUCCUGCCUAUAGGGUUUCAGACUCGCCUAAAUCUGUGUAAGUAAUAACUUGGCCAUUGGCUUCACCGUUUUCAAACAAAGCUCGUCCAAACUCGUCUGCAAUUUUCCAAACUUGCAUUUUCUUUUAUUGAAACGUUUUGCAACUCUCUGCUUGAAUUAUUAUUUGUCUCAUGAAGCUCUCUUUCAAGACAAGUUUCAAACUCACUCUUCUUUUAAAGCAUUCUUACUUCUGAAAACUGUACUUUACAAUUUUAGCGUACUUUUACUUAAACAAUUCUGCUGAUUUUUCAAGACCUCUAUGAACUUCUGUAAUUUCUAACCUUUUAUUUUAAACUCUCAUGCAUUAGGUUUUUAAUCAGUAACUUGUAUAAAAUACCUCAACUUCUGACAAUUGGAUCCGGGUUGCCUAAUGCAUACCUUUUAUCCAACUCUAUGUGUUAAACUAAUCUGUCAGCCGUUUAAUUUUUAAAACCAAAUCAGUAUAUGCAAGACAUGCUAAACUAAUUGCUAUGUGAUUUAUGGGGUUUAUAUGAGAUUUUCGUGUGUUUAUUUUAUUUCCCAUCUAUCUGCUAUUUGUUUUGAUUAACGCCCUAGGAUUUUAUCCUUUUGAAACUCCAUGUAUACCUAUACUGCCUUGCCUCCCCCUUAGGAUUAGAAGUCCUAAAACCCCAGAACUGGUAGGUUGGGACGGGUAUUAGCAUGCAACAAUUAAACGAGACUAAUCGUGUUUAAUACCUUAACGAGGUGGAAGGGUAGAAUAUGGAUAUGAUGACUGGUGCGCUAAUAUCUCGUGUGAGAAUUAUUGCUAGGUAUUGCACCAAGGUGAUCCAUAUUAUAUUUAAACUUAGGACCCUUUUUCUUUAUUUAUAUGAAGGGAUGUUUUCUUAAAAGUUAAUGUUUUUCCAAGAUCACGUAUGUCUUUCUUAUUUCAAAAUUUUCAAAUUAUUUGGAGUCCCUAUAUGCAAACUCUGUGUGUUUCUUUCUACUCUCCUUAAAGUCACAAUUAAGCAUGCCCGGGAAUCACACUAAUGGAUCUUGAGGGGUUCCUAACACCUUCCCCUCGAGAUAAUUUCAAGCCCUUACCCAAACUCUGGUUUUCUUUUAAUAACCUUCUUUUUUUCUUAGAAAGUGUCCUAAUGCACUAUAAUCAUUAGGUGGCGACUCUUCAAAUUCCAUAACCCGAUUCUUCAAAAGGGAAUAAGAGUUGUUUUGUCCAUAAUGUCGUAAACCCGAUUUCGCCUUAGAAAAAGGGGCGUCGACACCUGGACUCAAGUACCUCUUCAUCUAUUGUAGUGUCGCAGACAUUUCUAGUGAUCUAAAGAUCAGUAGGCAACCCAUCCAGACAAGGCCACCUCUGCCUUGUAUUGUCAUCAUAUCCCUGACUAGGGAUUUCUAGAAUCUUGCCCAGAUUCGCAGCGUUGAACUUCACUUUGACAGCUUUCUUUAUGCUAGUCACAACCCAUACCUCACUGUCCCAUUUGCCAUAAAAUCUACAAGUUCUUUUCUAGCCAACUUACCAUCCAUAUGAAGGACUAUGUCCUUCCACCCCUGUGCUUCUACAACAGCCACAUGUCUCAUCAUACUUGGCUCCUCCAGGUGUUUGAGUAGUCUUCCUUUUAAGAGUUUCCUCUUUCCAAACAUGGAAUAUCCCCCCUUUUCUUUUUCUGACUCUUCUUCUUCAUCCUCACUCCACUCAUCAUCCUUUUCUUCAGUUAUCUUCACUUAUUUUCCUUUUACAGUUGACCUAUUUCUCUUGGCAAGAACAGGGUUCAGCAGAUACUUGCUUGGAGGGCCUUUUGGCAGAAGUCGUGGUUCCCUUUGAUUUGGUAAUGGGAACAUCCAUAGUAGUACUCUUUUCUAGAUGGACCUGCUACAUCUCAUUCUUCUUCCUCUUCAACCACAUCCUCAGAACUUUUACCUGUCUUUGCUUUCCCUUUCUCUUUCCUCUUUAUCUUAAUUUCUUCUAAAGUUUUCUUCAACUCUGCUUCACUCUCCCUAACCCUACUUCUAGUGGCCCUAAUCCUAGGAGCAGACUUGGGUGAUAAAGUGUUGCUUUUCUUGGUUGGUUUGGACGGAACAUGGGUCCUUUGUGAGGAAGCCUUGCGUUUCUUUGGGUCAUAGCUAGACCCCACUUUCUUCAAUAAAUCAGCCAAGUUCUCUUCCCCAGAUGAACCAGGUUCAUCUUGUUGUUUGCUCAGAUUCACCAAACCCUCAGCGACCUCACUUGAUCCACUUCCCCUGACUUCGAGACUCCCUCUUCCCCACUCCAACAUAUUGCUAAACACUCCUUCUUCUUUUUUUUUCCUCAUUUCCCAGAAUCAGUCCCACCUACAUCUCUAGCAGCCCCUAUUAGAACAAAUCUAUUUUCCUCCUUCUGAACUAUAUCAGAAAAAUAAAGCAUGAUUUUACCUCUUCUUGGGUUUCUUGAGUUUUGGGAUUUUCAGAGGACCCAGGUUCAUCUCCUUCGGCGGAGAUGUAGUAAUCAUAUUCAGAGUUAGAAUUGGUCUGCUUUGCUGAAACUUCUUUCUUUUGAAUGGACUGUAGUUUUUCAUUCAAAGCUUUCCUCAGAGAACUAGUAGCUACAGUUUUUCUUGCUAGAAUUUUCUGGAGAUGGAAUCUUGGUUUUAGGGUUUUCACUGGUGGUGUGGAAGAUGAUGUGGUGUUAGGUGAAACAGGUGGUGUAGUGCUAGGAUUGUCUUGGGGAUUUGUCGUGGUGAAGAAUUUCUGGAAACCCUAAGGGAAUUUUGGUGGUAUGAAGAAUUUUGGAGAAUGUUUCAGAGGAGAGUGGAUAAUCAGGGGUUUUUGUGAAGAAUUGAAGGUUAUUGAGUGUUUUGGGGUUUUAAAAGAGGGUAAUGAUUACUUAGAAAUGAUAGCUUUUUCAGAGGUCUUGUAGUAAUCACUUUAGAGUUCUGGUCUCCUUAGUUAUUAAUUAGGAUUGAUCAUAUUUAGGACAGGGUUCCGUUAUACUUAGACUUCUAGUUUCAAUGAAACUGAUUCAAUUUGCCCAACAGAGAGAAUUGUUAGGACGUUUGGUAUAUCUAGGACUCUUGCUCAGGUUGAUAAUUAAAUUUUUCUAAUUGUGCAAAGUUUAGAAAGAUACCUGAACUUUCUCAUGAGCAUAUAUUAAUGAACCAGGUUCUUCAAGUGAAACUUCUCUUGAUUAUGCCUCAAAUGUCAAAACAUAAGAGAUUAGUGAAUCGCAUAAACACAUGUCACAAGAGUAUACUAUUUACAGUAUAAGACUGAGUAGGAAUUAGUCUAAUAUUCACAAAAAGCUAAGAACUCCAAACCAAUUUAUUUUUCAACAUAUAAUUUUUUUUCAUUGUGCAUUCUGAACUGGACCAUUUAGGUGAUCUUAAUCAUCCCUAAUUCCAUCCUGUUCCUUUCAAAGUUUUCUCUACUCAGUGCCUUAGUGAAGAUGUCAGCUAUUUGUUUAUCAGUAGCACAAAGUUCUGUGGAGAUUAGCGCUUUCUCAUAGUUAUCUCUUAAGAAGUGGUGUCUAACAUCUAUGUGCUUAGUCCUUUAGUGAUGAACAUGGUUCUUUGUCAUACUAAUUGCACCGGUGUUAUCACAAAAUAUUGGUAUGCACCUCACUUUAAUUCCAAAGUCUACCAGUUGUUGCUUAAUCCACAGUAAUUGAGCACAAUAUGAAGCAGCAACAAUAUAUUCAGCUUCAACAGUAGAGAGAUCCACUGAAUUCUACUUUUUGGUAGCCUAUGAUACAAGAAAAGACCCUAGGAAGUGUGCCAUACCUGAAAUGCUCUUCCUGUCCACUAGGAAACCUGCAUAGUCAGCAUCAGCAUGUCCAAUUAUGUCAAAAUAACUACCUUUGGGAUACCACAGACACAGAUCAGUUGUACCUUUCAAGUAUCUCAAUAUUCUUUUGAUAGCUAUCAAAUGUGACUCCUUUGGAUUUUCUUGGAAACAAGCAAAAAGUCCUACACUGAAAACAAUGUCAGGUCUACUGGCAGUGAGAUACAAAAGUGAACCAAUCAUACCCCUAUACAACUUUUGAUGAACUGAUGAACCAAGUUCAUCAAUAUCUAGUUUUGUGGCAGUUGCUAUAGGUGUAUCUAUUUCUUUAGAUUCUUCCAUUUUAAACUUCUUGAUUAGUUCCUUUGUGUACUUCUGCUGAUGGAUCAUAGUUCUAUCUGGACUUUGUUUAACUGUAGCCCAAGAAAAAAUUGAGUUCACCCAUCAUGCUCAUCGAUGGAUCAUAGUUCCACCUGGACUUUGUAUAAUCUGUAGCCCCUAGAAAAAAUUGAUUUCACCCAUCAUGCUCAUUUCAACAUCAUGCUCAUUUCAAACUCACUUCCCAUUAGUUUAUCAAUGUCCUUACUUAAACUAUAUAUAGUGACCCCAAAUAUUAUGUCAUCUACAUAUAUUUGUACAACAAGAAGAUCUUUACCUUUUUCCUUUAGGAAUAAAGUGCUGUCAAUUUUACCUCUUUUGUACCCAUGCUCCUGAAAGAAUUUGGACAAUCUUUCAUACCAAGCUCUUGGGGCCUGCUUGAGACCAUAGAGAGCUUUAUCUAGCUUGUAUACAUGAUCAGGGCAUUCUUUGCUUUCGAAUCCUGGAGGUUGUUUCACUAUCACUUCUUCUUUCAGAUAGCCAUUUAGGAAGGCACUUUUGACAUCCAUUUUAUGAAGUGCGAAUUCCAUAUGUGAUGCAAAGGCUAUGAGGAGUCUAAUUGCUUCAAGUCUAGCAACUGGAGCAAAAGUCUCAUCAUAAUCAAUACCUUCCUCUUGACUAUAUCCUUGUACCAGCAACCUUACCUUGUUUCUUGUAACUGUUCCAUCUUCAUAUAGUUUGUUCCUAAAGACCCAUUUUGUCCCAGUGACUGACAUGUCCUUAGGUCUUGCAACCAAAUGCUAGACUUGGCUUCUUUCAAACUGAUUGAGCUCAUCUUGCAUAGCAUUGACCCAAUUUGCAUCCUGUAGAGCUUCACUCACAUUUUUAGGUUCAAUGAGGGACAGGAAGGCAUUAAAUGCACACAUGUUCUUCAAUUGUGAUCUAGUAUUGGCUCCAGAUGUUGGAUAAUACAUGAUGGUAUCAAUGGGAUGAGAACUCAAGUACUUGUAAGAUUUCCCCACUUGCUGGUUCCUGCUAGAUGCUCCUUCAUUGUUGUAGUGCAGAGGAAUAGGUUCCUUAAGAGAAUUUUGUUCAGUUUCUCUCAGAUUGGUUCCUCCUGUCAGGUUGCCCUGGGUGGAAGGACAUGUUCCAUCACCUGCUCCUUCCUUUGAUGCCACCUUGACUUGUGCUGUUCCUUCCUCCUGUCAGGUUGCCCUGGGUGGAAGGACAUGUUCCAUCACCUGCUCCUUCCUUUGAUGCCACCUUGACUUGUGCUGUGGCUUCGGUCAAUUUUUUCACUAGUUCGAUGGCUUCAUCUUCAUUUUCCUGUCUCUCAGAAAGAGUGUUAUAUUCAUCAAACACAACAUGUACACUUUCAUCAACACACAAAGUUCUUUUAACAAACACUUUAUAUGCUUUGCUAUGUGAAGAAUAUCCCAAGAAUACUCCCUCAUCACUUCUGGGNNNNNNNNNNNNNNNNNNNNNNNNNNNNNNNNNNNNNNNNNNNNNNNNNNNNNNNNNNNNNNNNNNNNNNNNNNNNNNAAACUCCCUCAUCACUUCUGGGAUCAAACUUACCUAGGGAGUCUUUUCCAUUAUUGUGCACAUAGCACUUGCAACCAAAAGCCCUAUGAUGGGAAAUUUUUGGUUUUCUCCCUUUAAGUAACUCAUAGGGAGUUUUCUCUACAAGUGGUCUAGUCACACAUCUAUUUAUUAUAUAACAAGAAGUGUAUAUAGCCUCUUCCCAGAAGCUAUGAGGUAGUUUACUGGAAAGAAGCAUGGUCCUUGCCAUAUUCUUAAGGCUCUUGUUCUUCCUUUCAACUACCCCACUUUGCUUAGGGGUCCUAGGGGCAUAGAAAUUAUGAUCUAUUCCAUUUUCAUCACAAAAUUCAGCAAACUUUGUAUUUUCAAAUUCAGNNNNNNNNNNNNNNNNNNNNNNNNNNNNNNNNNNNNNNNNNNNNNNNNNNNNNNNNNNNNNNNNNNNNNNNNNNNNNNNNNNNNNNNNNNNNNNNNNNNNNNNNNNNNNNNNNNNNNNNNNNNNNNNNNNAACAAAAGUAGUGAACAUUUCAAAUGCUUCAUCUUUAGAGGUUAGAAACAACACCCAGGUAAAUCUAGAAUAAUCAUCAACAAGAACCAUUGCAUAUCUUUUACCACUUCUGCUCAUGGCUCUCAUUAGACCACAUAGAUCUAUAUGAACCAGUUCCAACGUCUUGGACGUACUUACCAUUUUCUUGGGUUUGAAGGAUAACCUUACCUGCUUCCCCCUUGCACAUGCCUCACAAACUUUGUCUUCUUUGAACUUGAUAUUAGCAUUUUCUUGGGUUUGAAGGAUGACCUUACCUGCUUCCCCCUUGCACAUGCCUCACAAAAUUUGUCUUCCUUAAACCUGAUAUUAGGUAACUCUAUCACCAAUUCUUUGGAGACUAAUUUGUUCAAUUGAUUUAGACUGGUAUGACCAAUUCUUUUGUGCCAAAGGAGGGGAUCAUUAAUUAACACAUUUAAGCAAGUGAGUUAAUUUUCAGAGAGAGUUCACAAAUCUACAAUGUAAGUAUUUUUAACUCUUCUUCCCUACAAAACAAUAUAUGUCAGUAGUAAGGCUAAUCACAAAACAUUUUGUGGAAGUUAAAGACACAAGAUUACCUUUGUCACACAGUUGUGACACACUUAUCAGGCUAUAUUUUAAGCCAUCUAUUAAAUAGACAUUCUUAUUGGAAUGAGAGUUUGUUUUUCCUACCUUUCCAACUCCAAUGAUCUCACCUUUCUUUCUAUUUCAAAGGAGACAUUACCUCAUUUUAGGUUCUCAAGUGAAAGGAACUGGUCCUUGUUACCAGUCAUAUUACAACCACUAUCCAUGUACCAUAUUUGGCUACUUCCCUUCAUUUGGACCUGCAAAAAGAAAUCAUUGGUUAGUUUUAGGAACCCAAACUAGUUUGGGUCACUUUCUAUGGGUAAAAGGAUGAAUUAAAUUUUUCUUCGCCAAACCAGGCGGUGUGUGUUUUUCUUGAACAAAUACUUUGUUCUUUUAACUGGCCUUUUCUUUUGCAUUGUAUUUAUUCUUGUUAUGGUCAGUCUUACCACAGUGUGUGCAGAUCUUAUUCUCAGGAAGUGUAAGGUACUUGUUUUUGGGAUCCCAUUUUGGAGCUUGUAUCCCAAAUGCAAGUCCUCUCUUAUUUCUACUAUGAUGUUCUUGCAGUCAAGAGAGUGCAUCAGAAUCAUUGUUCCAUUGGCAUAUUCUGUCUAGUUCGUGCUUCACCUUUCCUAAAUCUUCUUUAAGGACUUUAAUCAAUUUAUCUUUCUUGUACAGUUCAUCUUUCAUUUUUCCUAGAUUUUCUUCUAGGGUGAGAAAUGUUGAUUAGCCUUUUUCUUUCCUGUUCCUAAUUUCAGUUUAAUAUUUUCUGAUCUAAAUUCUUGGACCUUAUUUUCAAGUUGAUGAAACUGGUUCUUCAACUCAGUAUUUCUGUUGUCAGUCUCAUCAGCCCUAGACUCUAACCUUUUGCAUUUUUCUUCUAGGAUAACACAUUGCCAGACAGAACAUCCUUCUCACUGUUUAUUAUUUCAGUCUCAUCUAUGAAGUCCAACAACAACUCAAUAACCUUUUCUUUAGAUAAGAACUUAAUCUUUUCUUUAAGAUGUAGAAUACUUACCUCCUGUUCAUCUUCUGAUUCUCCAGAAGCCACAAGAGCUUGCUCAUCUUCAGCUUCAUUUUCGGAGUCCUCAUCUCAUAUUUCUCCCCAUGCAGCAACCAUAACAUUAGUUGAUCCUUUGUUCCUUCUUGGUUGAACCUGUUCCUUCUUCAUGUUUCUUCUAUCUGUCCUUUCUUUCUUCCAUUCAAUCUCCCAUUGAGGGCAACUUCUAAUCUGGUGAUCAGUCUUCCCACACUUGUAACACCCCUCAUUAGUUUGUUUUUCAGGAGCCCUAGGUUUGUUGAAUGUUGUUACUUUUGAAGGACCCUUUCCUCUCAUAAGAUACUUCUUGAAAUCCCUGAUUAUGAUAGCCAUUUAAUCAUAUCAAGAUAUGAUCCUUCUGAGAUUCUGAGAGACAGACUUCUUUCUUUCUUUGGAGCAUCCAUCUUCAUUGUCUACCCUCUCAAUUCAUAGGCAGUAAUAUUUCCAAUCAGUUCAUCCAAUUUAAAGAAGCAAUAUUUUUGGAUUCCUGAAUAGCUAUGAUUUUGCUUUCCCAGGAGAUUGGCAGAACUCUAGUUAGAAUCUUCUCCACCCUGUCUUCUUCGAGGAUAAUCCUUCAAAGAGACUCAAGUUCAUUUGUCAGUGUUGUGAACCUAGUAUACAUCUCUUGGAUAGUUUCUCCGUCCUUCAUAGUAAAAUUCUCAUAUUGAGAAUACAACAGUGUUCCUCUUUGCCUCUUCACCUGAGGUGUCCCUUCAUGAGCCACUUGUAAAGUGUCCCAAAUCUCCUUGGCAAUAUUACAACCUUGAAUCCCACUGUACUAGUCAGGAACAAGUCCACACACUAGCCAUUUCUUGGCUUUCACAUUUUUCUCCCACUUCUUUAGGUCUUCAGCAGUACAAUGUGCUCUUGUCUUUGAAACAUGUAAUCCUUCAGCGGUUUUCUUGGUUGUAGCCAAAGGACCAUCAGUGAUGAUACCCCAAAGCUUAUAGUCUUCGCCCAUGAUAUGGUCCCUCAUUCUGUUUUUCCACCAGGAGUAGUAGAGGCCAUUGAAAAGAGGAGGCCUGGCAGUAUAUUGCCCUUCCCAAUUCCCAGAUGGUGCACUCAUGUUAAUCUUUUCUUACGGUGUUAACCUCUUCAAGGAUAACCCGCUCUGAUACCAAUUGAUGUUAUAAACGUCAAUACCACACAAGAGGAUGUGGGGUGAUUUGUGUGGUACCUAAUUUUCGCGUUACAAGAACCAGGUUCUUCUAAGUGCUCUAACUACAACAGUUUGCGGAAUAAUAAAUACUGAAAGUAAAGUUCACAUAGAUUUUUACGUGGAAAACACCUGGCUCAAAAGGUGAAAAAACCAUGACCUACUACUCAGUAGGAUUUUCCCAAACUCCACUAAUAUCACUGAGCCAAACACAGCAUUUACAAAACUCUUUGUAAAUCUAAGGAUUAACUCUAAUCCCAGUAUGGCACAUAUCCUCAACUGUUGCGACACUUUCCAUUUAACUUUAACUUGAAUACUCAGACUACCUAAUACAAUUGCUUAUAAUAAAGCUGAAAGGUACAAUAUUAAAACCUACUACAAUUGAACUAGACUUAGAAUAAACACAAUGAUGAAACUAGUUCUUCUAUCUUAGUUCAUGUAGCUUCCGACGUGCACACUUGUAUCUCACAUAUAUUGCUUGCAAAUCAUACUUGCUCUUUUUGCUCUCAAAUAUGCUUAAAUUCGGUGUAUAUGCAUUGCUUGUAAAAGAGAACAACUUGGUUAUUUAAUAAAUUAGCACUUAGAGUUUGAUCGAGACUCCAAUGCUUAUCCUUAGUCGAUUUGAGUCCUUGACCAAUACAAACUCCAACCCUUAUCCUAGCUUAGGAUUAUGUUCUCUUAUCAUAAGAAGACUGUCCUCCUUAUAACUCAAUGCAAUCUUUUCAAUUCAGUUAAGAAGAUAUUUGCUGCGUGACCUUCAAUACAUAUCUUCCUCACGUGCCUUCCAUGUGCAAUGGUUAUGACUAACUGUGUCUCUCAAGAUUAACCAGGUCUGUCCCUGAGUUCAUUUGUCAAUCUUCAAAACUUAAACUGAACUUGGGACGAGAUUACAUAUUUGUGAUCCUUAGGUUAUCGGUAAUAACUUUCUUCAAAAAAAUUUAAAAUGUGGGCACGUGGGCCUGGGGAUGAGUUUUAGGAACCUUACAUUUAGGGUUUGGAAAUUGGUUUAAUAAUUUUAAUAUUGAUUUUUGUGGAUGUAUUGACUAGUUCUUACCCUAUUUGAAUAGUUUUGGAUUGUUCGGCUCUGAUUUGGAGGUUUGGGCGAGUUCUUGAAUUGGGAUAUAGGCUUUAGAGCGAGGCGAGUUUCCUUUCUAACAUUGAAAGAGAGAAUUAUCCCCAUAGGUGAAUUAAUUAGAUAUGUGCUUCUAUUUGUGUGUUNNNNNNNNNNNNNNNNNNNNNNNNNNNNNNNNNNNNNNNNNNNNNNNNNNNNNNNNNNNNNNNNNNNNNNNNNNNNNNNNNNNNNNNNNNNNNNNNNNNNNNNNNNNNNNNNNNNNNNNNNNNNNNNNNNNNNNNNNNNNNNNNNNNNNNNNNNNNNNNNNNUUGUGUGUUGGGGGGGGGGGUUACUACGUACGCAUGAGAUGACGAGAGUCCGUGCGUAGUAGGGGGGGGGGUUACUACGUACGCAUGAGAUGACGAGAGUCCGUGCGUAGCUACUAUUAUGCUUAAGUCCAGGUAGUUUAGGCCCCAAAGACAUGAUUUACUUGUAAUAUUUGCAAUCUUGUUGACAAUUUAAAAUGCUUAAGACAUAUCGAAUGUAUAAAUGAAUUUCUAAAAGACUAUUCAUCGUUUCUUGAUUUUUAAAAAAGGAGAAAUUUCCUUUUCUUGGAUAAUGCUCUUUGAUGAAUUCUUAUUUGACUAUUUGAAUGUGUUUAUACAUUGUGAAAUGGUCCGAACUCUUCGGUACCUUAAAAUGGGAAUUUAAUUAACUUAUUAGUGAUUGGCUUGCCUGACAAUGUUGUUCAACUCCAUCACGAUCCUUAGUGGAUUUUGGAUCGUGACAACAUGGUAUCAGAGCACUAGGUUCUCUUAAGUCUCACGAGUUAUGAACGAGUCUAGUAGAGUCUUGCGGAUCGGUACGGAGAUGUCUCUACUUCUCCUCGAGAGGCUACAUGGAUUUUAUGAGCACUUCCCUUCUUGAUUCCUCAUCGUGUGGUUUGAUUCCUUCUAGGCUUAUGCCCUUGUUUCUUUCCUACCCAAUCUAAUGCUACGCGAAGCGCUUAUUAUAAAUCGAGAAUUGAAUAAUUGUAAUGGUAUUACAGUUGUGGUGUAGGAUGUUUCUCCCUACAUAGUUGUUUGGCUAUUGUCGUCACCUUGCAGAAGGUCGUUGUGUUGUUUCAGCUCAGUAUUAGUGUUACUUAAGGUUUUGAGAUUUGGUAUCGAUGUUAUGAUGAUUCGUGCAUUGCUAUCUCCUAGUAUUUUGUGAUGGUAAGAUACUUACCGAUAUGUCAGGGUAGUGAAUGACCUAGAAGGAGGCCUACUCAGUGCAUGAUUUACAGACUCGGUAUUUUAUUCUCGAUGGAGGGAAGGCAACCAAACUGUAAUUUAUUAGGAUUGGGUCAAUGUUUCUAAUGUCAACGGCUGGAGAAAAUAUGAUCCUCGGAGAAGUAUAAAGUUAGUAGCGGUCUAUUGGUUCAAGUGCUACGGAGACAUAUAUUGAUCUAAGGCAAAAAUCGGGCGACAAAGGAUGAGAAAGGACAUGUGGUAAGUGUCAUGCGGUGGUUAAACUUCUAGAAGGCUAGGUGUAAGAAGCAGAAGUCGAGUAGUUUCUUAAAGAAGUGAGUUUUCCCAAAGUGGGAGAGUGGAAGUAUAACAUAUGGGUUCAGUGGUAGGAUAACUAUACACCUUGAGGAAAAGUUAGAGUGGCUUAGGAGUUUUAGUGGAUGGUGAUUUGGUUUAGGAGCGUAAAUUAAAAUAUUGGCUAGCAUACGAUGUGAUAUUUGAUAUGACAGAAAGGAGCUGCUUGAUAUGAAGAAGGAUACAAUAUAACUUUGAAAUGGGGAGAUAUUAUCAUGUAAUUUAGUGGAUGUCCAUGAGUAAUGAACGGAUUUGUUCAGCUAGUGAUGAGCAUGGACUCAAAAUGGGUUACUGAUUUCGUAGUAAUGGUGCAUUGCAGCAUUGUUGGGAGAUGACGACAUGUAAUUUCCACAAGGGGUUAUCUCGUAUGAGCAGAGUAGCGGUCGUGUGGUUGGCGAUGCUUCUGUAAAGAAUCUUACUAGCUAUCCAGUAAGAAGUCAAAUAUGUGAAUAUUGCUAGAGAAUUAGAGUGUUCAUGAAAUUCUAACGGAAGGAUUGCAAGGAAUUUGGUGGUGGAUAUCACAAGGUAAUGUAAAUGAGAGAUAAAGAAUCUUCGUGGGUUCUAGAGUUGUGUAAUAGUGGCUUCAAGCUAAGUGGGAGAGUCCCACUGCCUACGGUUGGAUUGCAUGGUCGUCUAUUUAUGGGAUUUCUAGUUUUUAGCAUAUAGGUGGGUUAUUUUAGCUAAGGUAAAGGGACAUAAGAGGUAAAUUCAACAAAGAAUUGUUAAAUGUGUGACAUAGUUGGGCUUAUUGACUCAUAUUCAGAGUUGGGGAAUGAUUCAGGAUUUAUGCUUUAUGUAGCUACGGGAUUCAAGGAAAGUGAAUUGGCCAGGUGAUUCGUCGAGAGGGUCUUCAUGUGCUAGAAGAUUCAUGGAAUUGAUUAUAUUGGGGAUGGAUUGGUUGUCACCUUAUCAUGCUAUAUUGGACUGUCAUGCCAAGACUCUGACCUUAGCAUUGUUGGGGUUGCCUCGUUUGGAGUGGAGAGGGACUCUUGGUCAUUCUACCAGCAGGGUUAUCUCAUAUAUGAAGACUCAACGUAUGGUCGAUAAGGGGUGUCUGGCCUAUUUGGCGUAUGUUCGUGAUUCUAGUAUUGAGUUCCAUUCUAUGGGUUCUGUGCAAGUUGUUCGUCAGUUUCCAGAGGUACUUCCUGCAGAUAUGUCGGGGAUGCCACCCAACAGGGAUAUUAACUUUUGCAUUUAUUUGGCUCCAGGCACUCAGCCCAAUUCUAUUCUACCAUAUCGCAUGGACCCGCUAGAGUUGAAAGAAUUGAAACAAUAGUUGAAAGAUUUGCUUGAUAAGGGCUUUAUUAUACCUAGUGUCUUUCAUUGGGAUGCGCCUGCAUUAUUUGUUAAAAAAAAGGAUGGGUCCAUGGGGAUGUGCAUAGAUUAUCGGCAGUUGAACAAAGUCACCAUCAAGAACAAGUAUCCAUUGCCGAAGAUUGAUGAUUUAUUUGAUCAGCUUCAGGGUGCCAAGGUAUUUUCGAAGAUUGAUUUGAGAUCUGGCUUCUAUCGAUUGAGGAUUAGGGCAUCCAAUCUCCCUAAGACAGCUUUUCGCACAAGGUACAUGCAUUAUGAGUUCUUAGUAAUGUCAUUUGGGUUGAAAAUUGCCCCAACAACAUUCAUGGAUUUGAUGAACCGAGUGUUCAAGCCCUAUUUGGAUUCCUUCAUGAAUGUUUCAUUGAUGAUAUUUUGUUCUAUUCCCAGAACCGGGAGGAGCAUGAGCAACAACUUUGAGUCGUUCUUCAAACUCUGAGAAACAACUAGUUAUAUUCUAUGUUAUUGAAAUGUGAGUUUUAGUUGAGUUCAGUACCAUUCUUGGUCAUGUUGUAUCACCAAAGGGUAUUCAGGUGGAUCCCAAGAAGAUUGAUGCAUUCAAGGAUUGGCCUAGACCCACAUCAGCUAUAGGAUCCAGAGUUUCUUGGGUUUGGCGGGCUAUUACCAUCGGUUUGUGGAGAGGUUUUCAUCUAAUAGCCUUGAUGACCAGGUUAACCCAGAAGGGUGCCCGGUUCAGGUGGUCAGACGAGUGUUAGGUGAGCUUUCAGAUGCUCAAGACCACCUUGACCAUGACGCUUUCAGAAGCUCAAGACAGCCUUGACCACAACGCUAGUGUUGGUAUGAUCCAUAGGCUCGGGCCAUAUAUAGUAUAUUGUGACACACCUCGUACUGGAAUAGGUACGGUGUUGAUGUCGAAUGGCAAGGUUGUUGCAUAUGCUUUGCGGCAGUUGAAGAUUCACGAGAAGAAUUAUCCAGUUCAUGAUUUGGAGCUAGCAUCCAUUGUCCAUGCGCUGAAGAGUUCGAGGCAUUAUUUAUAUGGCGUGUCGUAUGAGGUAUUCACGUAUCACAAGAGUUUGCAAUACUUGUUCAAGCAGAAGGAGCUAAAUUUGAGGUAGAGGAGGUAGUUGGAACUAUUGAAAGACUAUGAUAUCACCAUCUUAUAGCAUCCUGGAAAGGCCAAUGUAUUGGCCGAUGCUUUGAGCAAGAAGUCAGCCAGCAUAAGCAGCCUUGCAUAUAUUUCGAUCGGUGAGAGACCGCUUGCUUUGGAUGUUCAGGCUGUAGCCAAUCAUUUUGUGAGGUUGGAUAUUUCUGAGCCUACCUGUGUUCUAGCUUGCACAGUCUCUCGUUCUUAAUUAUUUGAGCGUAUCAGAGAUUUGCAGUAUGAUGAUCCUUGUUUACUUGUCCUUAGAAACACAGUGCGACAUGGAGGUGCCAAGCAGGUUACACUUGGAGAUGAUGGAGUUUUGAGGAUGCAGGGUCAAGUUUGUGUGCCUAAUAUGGAUGCGCUUCAUGAUUUGAUUCUAGAGAAGACCCAUAGUUCCCGCUAUUCUAUUCAUACGAGCACCACUAAGAUGUAUCAGGACUUACAACAACAAUAUUGGUGGAGGAGGAUAAAGAAGGAUAUUGUUGCGUAUGUAGCUUGGUGUUUGAAUUGUCGGCAGGUAAAGUACGAGCAUUAGAGAUCUGGUGGUUUGCAUCAGAAGAUUGAGAUUCCUGAGUGGAAGUGGGAGCGUAUCACUAGGACUUUGUUUUUGGACUCCCACGGACUCAGAGGAAGUUCGACGUAGUAUGAGUUAUUGUGGAUAGGCUAAGUAAGUCAGCGCAUUUCAUUCCUAUUGAGGUUUCCUAUUCUUCUAAGCGGUUGGAAAAUAUUGAUAUCCGUGAGAUCAUUCGUCUUCAGGAUGUGCCUAUGUCUAUCAUUUCUAAUCGAGGUAUGCAGUUUACCUCACGUUUUAGGAGGGCAGUGCAUCUUGAGGUUGAUAUGCGAGUCGCGUUGAGCAUAACAUUUCAUCUUCAGACAAACGGACAAUCCGAGCGCACUAAUUCAAAUUUUAGAGGAUAUGCUCCGUGCAUGUGUUAUUGACAUUGGAGGUUUUUGGGAUUAAUUCUUGCCAUUAGCAGAGUUUGCCUACAACAAAAGUUAUCAGUCGAGCAUCCAGAUGACUCCCUAUGAAGCAUUAUAUGGUAGGCAGUGUCGGUCGUUGGUUGGGUGGUUUGAGCCGGGAGAGGCUCGGUUGUUGGGUAUAAAUUUAGUUCAGAAUGCCUUGAGUAAUUUUAAUAUCAUUCAGGAUAGGCUUCGUACAGCUAAGUCUAUGUAGAAGAGUUAUGCCGGCCGUAAGAUUCGUGAUGUGGCAUUCAUGGUCGGAGAGCGAGUGUUGCUCGGGGUAUUUCCCAUGAAGGAAGUGAUGAAAUUUGGAAAGAGGGGCAAGCUAAGCCCUAGUUUCAUCAGGCCUUUUGAGAUCCUUGAUAGAGUGGGAGAGGUGGCUUACAGACGUGCGUUGCUGCUGGGUUUAUUAGCUGUGCAUCCUGUGUUUCAUGUGUCCAUGCUUCGGAAGUAUCACAACAAUCCAUCCCACGUGUUAGAUUUCAGCCCUAUCCAGUUGGACAAGGACUUGACCUAUGAGGAGGAGCUGGUAGCUAUUCUAGACUGGCAGGUUCAUCAGUUGAGAUCUAAGAGUUACCCUCCGGUUCGUGUUCAGUGUAGAGGUCAGCUUGUCGAGGCAGCUCCCUAGGAGUCCUAGUCUGAUAUACAUAACGAUAUCCCCCUUCUUUUCACCGACUCAGGUACUUUUUCUAUGUCCGUUCGAGGACGAACUAUUAUUUUAGAGGUGGAGAAUGUGAUGACCUAAAAUUCAUCUCUUGUUUUAAAAGUCACAUCUGUGUUCCGAGGCCUUAGAAACCUCCUUUUGUCUCACCUCGAUUUGCAUGCAUAGUUCGGUGCAUAUCCGUAAACGAAAAUUUGAGAAAAAUUCUAAUUUUGUCUUUAAAAUUAAGUUCAAGUUGAUUUGGAUCAAUAUCUUAUGUAAACGGACCCGGACCCGUAUUUUGACGGUCCUGGAGGGUUCGUAGAAAAAUAUGGGACUUGGGUGUAUGCUCAAAUUUUAAAACCGAGGUCCCAGAAAUAAAUUAUUUAACUGGAAAAUAUAUGGAGCUUAGAAAUUGAAUAAUGUUUGAAUUUAAUGGUAUCGGGCCCGUACUUUAGUUCCAAAGCCCGGUAAAGGUUUAAUAGGGUAUUUAAAAUCUGUCUGUAAAAUUUCGUAAGAAAUAGAGUUUAUGUGGUGUGAUUCGGACCCUCGAUUUUGAAAAUAGUAACUUAAAGAAUUUUUGAGAUUUUCAUUGAUUUUGAUGCUAAAUUAGUUGUUUAAGAUGUUAUUUCGGCAAUUUAAUCGCACGAGUAUGUUCGUAUGAUAUUUUUAUACUUGUGUGCAUGUUUUGUUUGGAGCUCCGAGGGCUCGGGUGUGUUUCGAAUAGGUUUUGGGAUGUUUUGCACUUAGAGAUUUCUCCCGUUUUUCGAUUGCAAGUGCAAAAAUUUUUCCUUUUUUGAGUUCGUGAAGGAAAUCUUGCGAACGCGAAGAGUAAAAUUUUCUAAAGAAAGUGUCUUCUACGCAAACGCGAGGCACAGGUUUCGAACGCGGAGCAUUGGGGGCGUUACCCUUCGCGAACAUGACCUGGAUACCGCGAACACGACGGCCAUUUUUGCAGGGACCUGGGGAAGGGGUGAAAUACUCAUCGCGAAUACGACAACUGGAUCGCGAACGCGGAGGCUAGGGGGAAAUUCCUUCGUGAAUGCGCUGGGUAUCUCGUGAACGCGAAGGCCUUAGACCGCUGUGCAUUGUGAUUGCGAUAGGUCUCUCACGAACGCGAUGAAAACCUGUCCAAUGAAUUUAAAAUCGAACCUCGAUCGGGAUUAGACAAAAAUUUCAUAUCUUCUUCCAUAGAAUCUAAUUUUGGGCAAUUCUUUAAGAGGAAUUUCAACACCAAAUCAUAUGUUUGUGUUCUUAAACUCAUUUCUUUCACUUUCCAUCAAUACCCAUUAGAUUUCUAGGCCUAAAUCUUGUUCUUUCAUGGUAGAAUUAGGGAUUUUUUGAAGAAUUGGAGAUUUUACAAAAUUGGAAAUUUAGACCUCGAUUUAGUGUCAGAUUCUGAAACUAAAUAAUAUUUGGGCUCGUGGGUGAAUGGGUGAAUGUAUUUUGGUCCAAACCUUGAGUUUUGACCAAGCAGGCCCGAGGUCGUUUUUUGACUUUUUGGGAAAAAUGAUAGAAAACCUAUAGUUAAGAAUUGGAUUUGGAUUCUUUAGAAUUUCUUAAUGUUUUAAAGUUAAUUAUGGCUAGAUACAUGUGAAUUCGAAGUGGAAUAUAAGGGGAAAGCGGUAUAAGUGUGGUGAUGAGUAUAUAUGCGUUACUGUCGAGCAUGCCCAUGAUUCUUAUACUGUGACUGUUUAGACUCUUAUUGUUCACCGUCCAUGCUUAAGUUGAUGAUUAUCCAUGUUAGACAAGACAUGAUAAUUUCUUGGUAAUUGACUAUUGUUUAGUAUUGACUCAAGUUGAGAUUUAUGUUAUGAAGUUAACUGUUGGAGCGAGAUUGGUUACUGAUUCCCUUGCCGGGAUGUACUUGUUUCUAUUGUUGAUUCUCUUGCCUGGAUGUAUUUGUUUCAAUUAUUGGUUUCAUUGUCAGGAUGUUAUUGAUUCUACUGUUUGGGUGAGGAAAGAGUAAUACAUCACGAAAGGUGAUGCCUUUCACAUUCAUGCAUAUGCAUACGGUGAGAAAUAGUGAUAAAGCACGACGGGCGAUUCCGUGCACAUUUAUAUUUAUAAUGAUACGUAUUGUGAGCAAUAGAGAUAAAGCACGAAGGGUGAUGCCGUACAUAUUUAUACUAUUCACAUGGUGAGGAAGAGUGAUAAUGCCCGAAGGGUUAUGCAGUGCACAUUUCUAUUAUUGAUUGCGUCGUGAGGAUUGAGAGUAAAAACCACGAAGGGUAAUGUCGUGCAUUUUCUGUUUGCUGUAUUCAUUUGUUAUUAGUUGUUCAAGUGUUUUAACUGUUUAAUUCCUUUACUUAUGUAAUUCUUUAUGUUAAAACCCCCAUAGCAUGUUUCCCCUUCACGUACAUUUCUACUUAGUUAGUACUCGUUACUCUGUUACUAUACUGAUUAACUGCACAGAUUUAUGAUGUUUGUCAUGUCCUAACCUUGUCACUACUCCGCCGAGGUUAGGUUCGAUACUUACCAGUACAUGGGGUCGGUUGUACUGAUAUUUCACUAUGCACCUUUUGUGUAGAUCCCGCUACAGGACCAUACGGAUCGUAGUUCGAGG
rnacentral:lncRNA from 1 species